rnacentral:sRNA from 1 species
UCCGUAGGUGAACCUGCGGAAGGAUCAUUCAUAAUCAAGUGUUUUUAUGGCACUUUCAAAAAUCCAUAUCCACCUUGUGUGCAAUGUCAUCUCACUGGAGGUCAACGGCUGUAAAAAUCCGUUGGUCACCUUUGGGAUUUAUAUCUACUCAGAACUUUANUGAUUUUGUCUGAAACAUAUUAUGAAUACUUAAUUCAAAAUACAACUUUCAACAACGGAUCUCUUGGCUCUCGCAUCGAUGAAAAACGCACCGAAAUGCGAUACGUAAUGUGAAUUGCAGAAUUCAGUGAAUCAUCGAAUCUUUGAACGCAUAUUGCGCUCUCUGGUAUUCCGGAGAGCAUGCUUGUUUGAGUAUCAGUAAACACCUCAACUCCCCUUUCUUUUUUGAAAUGGGAGCUGGACUUGAGUGAUCCCAACGCUUUUCUCACCGAAAAGUGGCGGGUUACUUGAAAUGCAGGUGCAGCUGGACUUUUCUCUGAGCUAAAAGCAUAUCUAUUUAGUCUGCCUAAAAAACAGAUUAUUACCUUUGCUGCAGCUAACAUAAAGGAGAUUAGUUCUUGUGCUGACUGAUGCAGGAUUCACAGAGCCAGCUUCGGCUGGCUUUGUAAACUCGAUCUCAAAUCAAGUAAGACUACCCGCUGAACUUAAGCAUAUCAAUAAGCGGAGGAAAAGAAACUAACAAGGAUUCCCCUAGUAACGGCGAGUGAAGCGGGAUGAGCUCAAAUUUAAAAUCUGGCUGGUUUACUAGUCCGAAUUGUAGUUUAAAGAAGCGUUUUCGGUGGCAGCCUGGGUAUAAAUCCUUUGGAACAGGGUAUCAUAGAGGGUGAGAAUCCCGUCUUUGACUCAGUGCAUGCUACUAUGUGAUACGUUUUCAAAGAGUCGAGUUGUUUGGGAAUGCAGCUCAAAAUGGGUGGUAAAUUUCAUCUAAAGCUAAAUAUUGGCGAGAGACCGAUAGCGAACAAGUACCGUGAGGGAAAGAUGAAAAGAACUUUGAAAAGAGAGUUAAACAGUGCGUGAAAUUGUUGAAAGGGAAACGCUUGAAGU